UACGGAGGGGGGCUAGCGUUGUUCGGAAUUACUGGGCGUAAAGCGCACGUAGGCGGCUUUGUAAGUUAGAGGUGAAAGCCCGGGGCUCAACUCCGGAAUUGCCUUUAAGACUGCAUCGCUAGAAUUGUGGAGAGGUAAGUGGAAUUCCGAGUGUAGAGGUGAAAUUCGUAGAUAUUCGGAAGAACACCAGUGGCGAAGGCGACUUACUGGACACAUAUUGACGCUGAGGUGCGAAAGCGUGGGGAGCAAACAG
rnacentral:rRNA from 1 species